GACGAACGCUGGCGGCGUGCUUAACACAUGCAAGUCGAGCGGUAAGGCCCUUUCGGGGUACGACGAGCGGCGAACGGGUGAGUAACACGUGGGUGACCUGCCCUCAGCUCUGGGAUAAGCCUGGGAAACCGGGUCUAAUACUGGAUAUGACUCCAUGACGCAUGUUGUGGGGUGGAAAGCCUUGUGCGGCUGAGGAUGGGCCCCGCGGCCUACCAGCUUGUUGGUGGGGUGAUGGCCUACCAAGGCGACGACGGGUAGCCGGCCUGAGAGGGCGACCGGCCACACUGGGACUGAGACACGGCCCAGACUCCUACGGGAGGCAGCAGUGGGGAAUCUUGCGCAAUGGGCGAAAGCCUGACGCAGCGACGCCGCGUGAGGGAUGACGGCCUGU
rnacentral:rRNA from 1 species